rnacentral:rRNA from 1 species
AUUGAACGCUGGCGGCAGGCCUAACACAUGCAAGUCGAACGAGUGGCGGACGGGUGAGUAAUGUCUGGGAAACUGCCCGAUGGAGGGGGAUAACUACUGGAAACGGUAGCUAAUACCGCAUACCCUCGGAUGUGCCCAGAUGGGAUUAGCUAGUAGGUGGGGUAAAGGCUCACCUGGGCGACGAACCCUAGCUGGUCUGAGAGGAUGAACGGCCAAACUGGAACGAGUGCACGGUCCAGACUCCUACGGUAGGCAGCAGUGGGGAAUAUUGCACAAUGGGCGCAAGCCUGAUGCAGCCAUGCCGGGUGUAUGAAGAAGGCCUUCGGGUUGGAAAGUACUUGCAGCGGGGAGGCGUUACCCGCAGAAGAAGCACCGGCUAACUCCGUGCCAGCAGCCGCGGUAAUUC